rnacentral:rRNA from 1 species
AGACCCCGUGAACCUUUACUAUAGCUUGACACUGAACAUUGAGCCUUGAUGUGUAGGAUAGGUGGGAGGCUUUGAAGCGUGGACGCCAGUCUGCGUGGAGCCGACCUUGAAAUACCACCCUUUAAUGUUUGAUGUUCUAACGUGGACCCGUAAUCCGGGUUGCGGACAGUGUCUGGUGGGUAGUUUGACUGGGGCGGUCUCCUCCUAAAGAGUAACGGAGGAGCACGAA